UACGUAGGGUGCAAGCGUUGUCCGGAUUUACUGGGCGUAAAGGGCGCGUAGGCGGUGCGGUAAGUCACUUGUGAAAUCUCUGAGCUUAACUCAGAACGGCCAAGUGAUACUGCAGUGCUAGAGUGCAGAAAGGGCAAUCGGAAUUCUUGGUGUAGCGGUGAAAUGCGUAGAUAUCAAGAGGAACACCUGAGGCGAAGGCGGGUUGCUAGGCUGACACUGACGCUGAGGCGCGAAAGCCAGGGGAGCAAACGGG
rnacentral:rRNA from 1 species